UUCGCCGACGCAGUUUCGUGCUUCGCCCUCCAAUUAAAGGGGAAAAAAAGGUGCGACAUCGCCAUUUCCCCUCUCUCUCUCUCUCUCUCUCUCCAUCGUUUUGUUCUCCGAUUCUAGGGUUAGGGUUCCGAAGAGAGAGCUCCUCCGAUCCCCUCAUGGCGACGUGCUUCGAUCGAUGGGAGAAGGAUCCCUUCUUCUCCGCGGCCGAGGAGGUGCAGGAAUCGGCCGAUAGGAUGGAGUCGGUUUAUAGAAGGUGGAUUCAGGAGAGGAGAGGCGCGACGAAGCCCAGCGGAGGCGCCGAAUUCGCCUCGGCGGAGCUCCAGCGCGAGCUUCAUACGGUCCUCGGCACCGCUAAAUGGCAGCUUGAGGAGUUGGAACGAGCGGUGAGGUCGAACGAUGAGGACCUCUCGGUUGGAGAAGAUGCGAGAGCUCGACACGAACAAUUUGCUGAAGCUAUCGGGAGCCGUAUAACGAUGGUGGAGAACUCUCUGAAGGAAUCCAAUCUCAAGCAUGGGGAGAAAGGGCUGAGUUGGGUUCGGCUGGAUAAAGGAGAAAGGGACGAGCUUGCCCUAUUUCUAUCUGGUUCGUCGCCUCAAUGGCGAAAGGAGUUGAUCAUUCCAUCGGUUGGUCAACUGGAAGUCGGAAAUUGUAUGGUUAAGGUGAACAAGGAGGCCUUAAUUGACUGUUCGAAGAAUUCUUCAGAGUCAACCGAGUCGAGUUCGUCGGAGAUUAGGGAUAAUCGGACGCGUGGGCAUCGAAGGGUGGCUAGCGCUUCUGCUGAUAUUGGCUCAUGGAAGAUUUCGAUCCCUAGUGAGGGUGAGGAUACUUCGGAGAGAUCAUCAGAUGAUAGGCCCAAUCUACCAUUGCCGAAGAUACUUAGCCUUUCUGGGUUGGCAGGAAAUGGACAGUCAAAAUUCAGGCUCAAAUGGUACAGAAAUGGGUUUAGGAAAUGGAAAGGAAGUCACCAACAUGAUGAAGAAGAAUCCAUCCCUUUGCAGGAUCAUCAGCUGAAGCAGGGAGUUAAUGCAUGCUAUGAAAGAAGUAAGAGUUGUCUGAGUACUUGCGGAGAGGAGACUUACAAUAAACAGAUUUAUGGGUGGCUUGGAGCUCUUCAUAGGCAACUUCAGAGGUCUCAGUAUCAAAUUCAAUAUUGUCGUCCUAUUCAAAUCAUUCUUUUGGCAAUUCUGUCUGUUUUAUUAGUUGGUGUCAUGAUUGUGUUCAGUGCAAGCUGGUGAUAAUUUAUUUUGAUGUUUAUUGGAUAGUAAAGCUCGCUUCUGUGGCUGCUGAUAAGGAAGUGUUUCGUGCCACUUUUGAAUUUAAAGAAGUAAAAUAAUGGUUGGUCGGCAGCCCCUUGUGGAAAAUUCCACGUCGAGAUUAUUUAGAUUGUUGGCAGCAACGCCCCCUGAUGCACAAUGGAUGGCGAAGGUUUUUAAUCUCCUAUAGGUCGUUUAUUUCAUGGAUUUGUAACAUUCCGAGAGUGCUCUGCAUUUUCUUUCUGAAAGGGUAAGAUUGUAACUGUGCAACGUGGGUUGGACAUCCCUUCCCCUUAAUGAAGAACUUUCCAAUUGUCGGGUAUGAGGCUGAUAAAAUUUCCGUCACCAUGGUGAUGUAAGAUGCCCGCAAAUUGGAAGUCAUGGGUAAUUUGAUCACUUUAGGCUUCUUAAGCUCUCUUGGUCUUAGUUUGCUUUGGCAACUUACAAUUUCAUUUAGAACUUGCGGAUAUUCCCUGAUAAGUUACAAAUCCGUGAAAAGAACGACUCCUUAAUGUAUUGCUUGUGGAUCCAAGCAGAAAAGUGUAUAUCUUUUCAAGAUAGUAGACUAAUUCAGGAGUUUCAUAUAGAUUGCAGCUUCAGUAGUUGUUAUUUUCAGGCCAGUCCCUCAUUAACUUCCUGACCAUGUCCAGUUGUUGAUGUACAGAAAUAGAAACUCUUACACGAAAGGCUUAGUUAUCUGUGAUUCUGGGCCUAAAAGGGGGUAAUUACUAUGAAUCUGCUAAUUAUCUCUUAUAACUUCCCCUCCGUAGAGAUGAUUUAUGUUCCUUCGAUCCCGUUGAAGCUCAAAUCCUAUUCAUUUCUCCACUUGAUUUUCUCAUUCUAGAUUAUUAUUAUUAUUAUCGGUAUUAACAAUAUCCACAUGCUCUAAUUGGCUUUGAGUUGCAUCCGUGAAGAGGUCUCUGCUUGUUAUUACUUGGAUGGAUGGUGUGUAGUUGUGACUUCAUGUUGGAGAUGAGGGAAAAGUGUUGGACUCGUAGAGGUUGUGUUAAAAUAGUUGGCAACAAAUCAUUGUAGAAAAAUGAUGGUUUCUUACCAAUUUGUAUCCACUAUGUUGUGAUUCUUUGUAACUUGUAUAAUUUCUGGAAAUUGAUUCUAAUGUUUAUGUUUGUUAUUUUUAUUUUUAUUA